rnacentral:rRNA from 1 species
GUAGGUGGCAAGCGUUGUCCGGAAUUAUUGGGCGUAUAGCGCGCGCAGGCGGUUCUUUAAGUCUGAUGUGAAAGCCCACGGCUCAACCGUGGAGGGUCAUUGGAAACUGGAGAACUUGAGUACAGAAGAGGAAAGCGGAAUUCCACGUGUAGCGGUGAAAUGCGUAGAGAUGUGGAGGAACACCAGUGGCGAAGGCGGCUUUCUGGUCUGUAACUGACGCUGAGGCGCGAAAGCGUGGGGGAGCAAACAGGAUUAGAUACCCUGGUAGUCCACGCCGUAAACGAUGAGUGCUAAGUGUUAGGGGGUUUUCCGCCCCGUUAGUGCUGCAGCUAACGCAUUAAGCACUCCGCCUGGGAGUACGGCCGCAAGGCUG